GAGUUUGUGCUAACAUGUUGACUCUUGAAGAAUGGGGACUGGCACUAUGUGCUCAGAGGUCUAGAAGCUUCAGCCCCACUCCCUGACCUGUGGUGGGAGGAGAAGGCUGGACUUGGACUUCAUCACCAGUGGCCAAUGAUCUCAUCCGUUGUGAAUGCACAAUAAAGCCUCCAUAAAAACCUCCAGUGCCGGGCUCAGAGAGCUCCGGGCUGGCGAACGCAGGAGCACAGGGAGGGUGGCGCCUGGAGCAGGCUGGAAGAGCCGCACUGCAGCUGGCUGGUGCCCAGGCUCGGCUCAGAGCCUCUCCUCCUCUGGCUGCUCCUGAGGGGUAGUUGAUGUCAGAACUCGGCUGCAGGAUGCCCAGUUGGUAUCCACAGGAAACUGGAGACUUGCACGGAGUCUGUAGAGGAAGUUUUUCUGUCUACACCUCAAGCUGUGUCCUGAGCACUUCGUGAAGAUGAACUCAUCAAAUCUUUCCAGCAAGGGCUGAAGAUGAGAGGGUCAAGGAGGACUUCAAAUGAAAAGAUGACGACAAAAAAAGCACAGGCCUGUGGGUAUUCCAGGACUGCAGAAGGGAAGGACCACGGAGGGGGACACAGAGGGGACCAUGGAGGUGGAGAGGCACGGGGCCGCGAGUUCAGACCUGAGGGACUCGUUCCUGUUCCAGGCUAUGGCAGGGACUGUUCUCACGUGCAAGAGCGCCGUGCCUUGGGAGCCUCUUCAGUAAGAGGCUGGUGUAACCCAGCUCAGCUGACAUGGUCCCAAAGCAAGCAGAAGCUGGCAGACCCGCCACACACGCUGCCAGCUCCGAGUGCCAGCAUCCACCGUCUCUGCCAGUCCCCAUCAGGAUGACCUGGAUUUGAAAUUUUGCUAAGUGAGCACAACUACUAGGUUUCAGUGAGCAAGCAGGCCAAGGAGGUUAGAAAAAUACAAAAUUUUAAUCUCUACUUAUGACAGUCAUGUCAAAGCCCCUAAUUAAAAACUUUUUUUUCCAACCUGCAGAGCAGAACAGGGCUUAGCCUACACUCUCAGAACUUUGCAGGUACUCUCUGCCCUUUUCCUCUUAGCCCAAGGCUCUGUGCUGACCCACCCACUCGCUGCUCAUCAUUGCUCUGGGGGUAGUGGCUUGAAAGCCAGCCUGCCCAUCCUGCCAACCCAGGUGAGUCCCAUGCUGGGCCACCACAGCCCUGUUCUGUAACCCAAGAACCCUUCAGCCUCGGGCCCAACCCCCAAGUCCAGCCAUCUGCCAGGAGAGCUGCGAGGCCAGGGGGAGCACCCGCAGGGCUGCGAGCCUGGGAUCUGUGGCCUCCUGCUGACUGUCUCCGGCCUCCUGGCCCACGUUGUGGAACGUGGGUCUUUAAGGCACCAAGUGAUUGAAGAACUGGCUCUGCUUCUGAUCAAGGCCUUCCUGUUACUCACUAGUUAGUUAGUGACUGCUGGAUGCGCUGGCACCCCAGCAGCUCCGGGAAGUCCUCAUUCAGUCUUCAGGGCAGGAUGUAGGUAAUUCUCUGAGGAACAGACUUGCAGCCUUGGGAAGAAAAGAGUUGUUCCUCCUUGGGGACAUAUGUCAUCAUCUUGGCGAUCUCGUCCAGGGACUCUUCUGUGUGCGGGAGCUCCUGGCUCAGGAAGGCGUCGCGAGCACACAGCCUCACGUGACGGUAUUCCAGUGGCAGGAAGGGGACAAAGACGUCAAUCAGGUCUUCUUUCACCAGACGGCUGUGGCCAAAGCCACUGUCUGAAAUCAAGACACAAAGUCACAUGGAAGCUGACCCGAGGCUGAACCCAGUGGGGCUCUACUGUGUCCCAGGACCCGCAGCAUGGGCAGGAUUUGGUCUCGUGUACAGUGCCAGGGGGGCUGUCUGCAGCACAUGCCAAGAGCCACACCACUGGGUCUCCUGGAACAGGUCACUCACCUGUGGACCCCAUGAUCUCGGCUCGGAGGCGGGGCUCUAAGUCUUCCAUCGUAAUUUCUUCCCGGGGCCGUCCAGCCUUAAGCCAUGUCAGGACCACCUC